rnacentral:rRNA from 1 species
GAUGAACGCUGGCGGCGUGCCUAAUAAAUGCAAGUCGAGCGAACGGACGAGAAGCUUGCUUCUCUGAUGUUAGCGGCGGACGGGUGAGUAACACGUGGAUAACCUACCUAUAAGACUGGGAUAACUUCGGGAAACCGGAGCUAGUACCGGAUAAUAUUUUGAACCGCAUGGUUCAAAAGUGAAAGACGGUCUUGCUGUCACUUAUAGAUGGAUCCGCGCUGCAUUAGCUAGUUGGUAAGGUAACGGCUUACCAAGGCAACGAUGCAUAGCCGACCUGAGAGGGUGAUCGGCCACACUGGAACUGAGACACGGUCCAGACUCCUACGGGAGGCAGCAGUAGGGAAUCUUCCGCAAUGGGCGAAAGCCUGACGGAGCAACGCCGCGUGAGUGAUGAAGGUCUUCGGAUCGUAAAACUCUGUUAUUAGGGAAGAACAUAUGUGUAAGUAACUGUGCACAUCUUGACGGUACCUAAUCAGAAAGCCACGGCUAACUACGUG